rnacentral:lncRNA from 1 species
UCGGCUCGAGUCUUUCCAUUGAUUUAUGGAAUCUAUUCGUGUCUCCCAGUAAGUUUUAAGUCGGGACCUGCUCAUGCAUUUUAUCCCCUUUACUCCCUCAUUAGGGUCCCCAGAGUCUCUGUCCCAUUUAUGAGCGUAUUACUCCUAUGGAUUUGCAGUUUCUCCUGAUUUCUUUUAUCCUUUGUGGACAUAUAUUCCCACAGAGUAUUACCUUUUGCAUACAUGCAUUUUCAUCAUGAGGUCUCUUAAGGAC